UCUUCCUGUCCACUGAGCAGAUGACCGGAUCAACAACACUAGAAACAUUAAAAACUAUCACAGGAAUUGGGAUAUCUCUAUCUCCUUUUGAGAUAGCUUCAUUAAAAUAUCAAGUUUGGGUGCGGCAAAACAAUGCAGAUCCAAAGAUUUGCAAGGAACACUUUGAACGCAAGCAUCCCAAGUUUCCAAUGAUCCCAGUACUGGUUGAUGUGCAGGCCUAAGUGACCACACACACUCACAUGAACCUACAGCUGGGAUAUACGAUGACCACGAUUUGAAUACUGCAUCUGUGACGGAAUAAUGUCAAGGGACACGGGCUGAGACCUCGAGUAUGACUGGACAUGGGCCAGGUUUUUGUGACAAUGACCUAAAAGGGGUGCAGAAGCAAACCAGCUCCCCAUUUUAGGUUUAUUCCAUGGGAAACCUUUUCUCUAGCUACCCCUUAUUCCACACUAUGCCUUUAAUGCACCAUGGUCCUUCAAUUUUUGACACUUUGGAACUCUCCAUCUUAUCUCGAAUAAACAUGCCCUACCUUCAAACCUUUUCACUAUGCUGCUUCCUUCACUUGUUCUUCUGAUUUGAUAACAUCUAGACUCGGUGACAAAGUGUAAAAGUCUUGUAUAAAAUAUUAUAUAUAUUUAAAAAAAAUACUUUCCCCCCCCACCUGUUUAAUGCUGUCCUCAUUCUGGGGUUCAAACUGAAUGCAGUGGUACAUGUGCUGCUCACAAUUGACUGUAGCAACAUGGACCUUGACAAGAAGGGUGUUGAAAU